GCGUCGGUGGUGCAACAGUUAGCAUACGCUCCCGGAAAGAGUAAGAUCUGAGUUCGAAUCCCGGCUCACGCA